rnacentral:rRNA from 1 species
GGAAAGGCGCGCGAUACAGGGUGACAGCCCCGUACACAAAAAUGCACAUGCUGUGAGCUCGAUGAGUAGGGCGGGACACGUGGUAUCCUGUCUGAAUAUGGGGGGACCAUCCUCCAAGGCUAAAUACUCCUGACUGACCGAUAGUGAACCAGUACCGUGAGGGAAAGGCGAAAAGAACCCCGGCGAGGGGAGUGAAAAAGAACCUGAAACCGUGUACGUACAAGCAGUGGGAGCACAGAGCAAUCUGUGUGACUGCGUACCUUUUGUAUAAUGGGUCAGCGACUUAUAUUCUGUAGCAAGGUUAACCGAAUAGGGGAGCCGAAGGGAAACCGAGUCUUAACUGGGCGUUAAGUUGCAGGGUAUAGACCCGAAACCCGGUGAUCUAGCCAUGGGCAGGUUGAAGGUUGGGUAACACUAACUGGAGGACCGAACCGACUAAUGUUGAAAAAUUAGCGGAUGACUUGUGGCUGGGGGUGAAAGGCCAAUCAAACCGGGAGAUAGCUGGUUCUCCCCGAAAGCUAUUUAGGUAGCGCCUCGUGAAUUCAUCUCCGGGGGUAGAGCACUGUUUCGGCAAGGGGGUCAUCCCGACUUACCAACCCGAUGCAAACUGCGAAUACCGGAGAAUGUUAUCACGGGAGACACACGGCGGGUGCUAACGUCCGUCGUGAAGAGGGAAACAACCCAGACCGCCAGCUAAGGUCCCAAAGUCAUGGUUAAGUGGGAAACGAUGUGGGAAGGCCCAGACAGCCAGGAUGUUGGCUUAGAAGCAGCCAUCAUUUAAAGAAAGCGUAAUAGCUCACUGGUCGAGUCGGCCUGCGCGGAAGAUGUAACGGGGCUAAACCAUGCACCGAAGCUGCGGCAGCGACGCUGAUGCGUUGUUGGGUAGGGGAGCGUUCUGUAAGCCUGUGAAGGUGUGCUGUGAGGCAUGCUGGAGGUAUCAGAAGUGCGAAUGCUGACAUAAGUAACGAUAAAGCGGGUGAAAAGCCCGCUCGCCGGAAGACCAAGGGUUCCUGUCCAACGUUAAUCGGGGCAGGGUGAGUCGACCCCUAAGGCGAGGCCGAAAGGCGUAGUCGAUGGGAAACAGGUUAAUAUUCCUGUACUUGGUGUUACUGCGAAGGGGGGACGGAGAAGGCUAUGUUGGCCGGGCGACGGUUGUCCCGGUUUAAGCGUGUAGGCUGGUUUUCCAGGCAAAUCCGGAAAACUAAGGCUGAGGCGUGAUGACGAGGCACUACGGUGCUGAAGCAACAAAUGCCCUGCUUCCAGGAAAAGCCUCUAAGCAUCAGGUAACAUCAAAUCGUACCCCAAACCGACACAGGUGGUCAGGUAGAGAAUACCAAGGCGCUUGAGAGAACUCGGGUGAAGGAACUAGGCAAAAUGGUGCCGUAACUUCGGGAGAAGGCACGCUGAUAUGUAGGUGAAGUCCCUCGCGGAUGGAGCUGAAAUCAGUCGAAGAUACCAGCUGGCUGCAACUGUUUAUUAAAAACACAGCACUGUGCAAACACGAAAGUGGACGUAUACGGUGUGACGCCUGCCCGGUGCCGGAAGGUUAAUUGAUGGGGUCAGCGCAAGCGAAGCUCUUGAUCGAAGCCCCGGUAAACGGCGGCCGUAACUAUAACGGUCCUAAGGUAGCGAAAUUCCUUGUCGGGUAAGUUCCGACCUGCACGAAUGGCGUAAUGAUGGCCAGGCUGUCUCCACCCGAGACUCAGUGAAAUUGAACUCGCUGUGAAGAUGCAGUGUACCCGCGGCAAGACGGAAAGACCCCGUGAACCUUUACUAUAGCUUGACACUGAACAUUGAGCCUUGAUGUGUAGGAUAGGUGGGAGGCUUUGAAGUGUGGACGCCAGUCUGCAUGGAGCCGACCUUGAAAUACCACCCUUUAAUGUUUGAUGUUCUAACGUUGACCCGUAAUCCGGGUUGCGGACAGUGUCUGGUGGGUAGUUUGACUGGGGCGGUCUCCUCCUAAAGAGUAACGGAGGAGCACGAAGGUUGGCUAAUCCUGGUCGGACAUCAGGAGGUUAGUGCAAUGGCAUAAGCCAGCUUGACUGCGAGCGUGACGGCGCGAGCAGGUGCGAAAGCAGGUCAUAGUGAUCCGGUGGUUCUGAAUGGAAGGGCCAUCGCUCAACGGAUAAAAGGUACUCCGGGGAUAACAGGCUGAUACCGCCCAAGAGUUCAUAUCGACGGCGGUGUUUGGCACCUCGAUGUCGGCUCAUCACAUCCUGGGGCUGAAGUAGGUCCCAAGGGUAUGGCUGUUCGCCAUUUAAAGUGGUACGCGAGCUGGGUUUAGAACGUCGUGAGACAGUUCGGUCCCUAUCUGCCGUGGGCGCUGGAGAACUGAGGGGGGCUGCUCCUAGUACGAGAGGACCGGAGUGGACGCAUCACUGGUGUUCGGGUUGUCAUGCCAAUGGCACUGCCCGGUAGCUAAAUGCGGAAGAGAUAAGUGCUGAAAGCAUCUAAGCACGAAACUUGCCCCGAGAUGAGUUCUCCCUGACUCCUUGAGAGUCCUGAAGGAACGUUGAAGACGACGACGUUGAUAGGCCGGGUGUGUAAGCGCAGCGAUGCGUUGAGCUAACCGGUACUAAUGAACCGUGAGGCUUAACCUUACAACGCCGAAGCUGUU